UACGGAGGGUGCAAGCGUUAUCCGGAUUCACUGGGUUUAAAGGGUGCGUAGGUGGGCAGUUAAGUCAGUGGUGAAAUCUCCGGGCUCAACCCGGAAACUGCCAUUGAUACUAUCUGUCUUGAAUAUCGUGGAGGUAAGCGGAAUAUGUCAUGUAGCGGUGAAAUGCUUAGAUAUGACAUAGAACACUAAUUGCGAAGGCAGCUUACUACCCGAAUAUUGACACUGAGGCACGAAAGCGUGGGGAUCAAACAGG
rnacentral:rRNA from 1 species